rnacentral:lncRNA from 1 species
AGUACCUGUGGCUCUGUAGCGCUAUCAUAGAUAGUACCUUCUGGAGAAUAUGAGAUGCCACUUACGGUCUAUACAGCUACAACAAUGAUUCAACUGCAACAAUGUAUUCAGGUAUAAGAUUGGAACAUCAUUUGCAAAAUGAAGCACACAUACACGUGUUCUAGAAAAGCAAGUAUUAUACUUACAUUAGAUCUUUAGGAAGACUGACACAAUUAGCUUUUGAUAUAUAAAAUCACAAUUGUUCUCACGAAAAGGGUGAACUCUUAGUGAUCGAAAGUAACGCAUUUGAAUCAAUUUUUACAGUAAAAAUAGUUUUAAGAAAAUGUGCAGCACAUGUAUUGAUGUGAAUGGAUUAUGCAUAUACAUGGACAAAAUAAUUGAAGCAGAUAAGAAUAAAUAACAAAUAAUUAACAGGUAUAGUAUCAAACUAUCACAUAUUUCAACACAUAAUUCAAAUUUUCACUAAGAUAUUCAUACAUUAAAUAUCCAACAUUAAAAAAUAAAAAUCUUGCAUCCAUAUCACAAUGCAUAAUACUACAAGUUUGGGUUAAGUUUGAAUCCACCCUAAACUAAUACAAACAUAAAAAGCUCAAAAUAGUAGUCGUUAGAACCUCAUAUCCAAAACCAACGAAUCUCUUCAUCAACAAAAUAUUAUCCUUUCACGAGUGUAUGAGAAUGGCCAAACCACCAGCAGAGCAUCCUGUGAGAAGGGCCAGUGAAGUUGGCAUAAGCAAUUGUAAAACCUAAUAACUUUAGCAAUAAAUUUAGAUGAUGGCACAAUAUACAUUCGAUUCAUCAAACAGAUAAACAUGUCAUAUUGUUUUGAAUAAUCAGGCUGGAGAGGAGAAAGACUCAGUAUAGGCUUCAUGUACUCAGCUUUUGAUAUCACUCAAGCAUAUCAAGAGAACUACAAGGAAAAUUCAAACUUGAAAAGGCAAUAUUUGAGAUGGAAAAAAGUAGAUUUAUCAAACAGUUAUACAAAACAUAUAUUUGCAUAGUUGUAACUUAUAUUAAACUCGACCAUGAUAUUUAAAGAGCCAUAUGCAAUGCAAAACUUAAACUUAAAAUAUAUGCAAUAUAUUUUAGGAUCACAGUUAACAUCAUACGGGGAUUCUGAACUUGAUCAUGGCUCAAGCUACCCGCCAAAACUGAUCUUGUUUGGCCAUAUAAGUUGAUGAACCUAAUCUUGUUCUCUUCCGAGCCGAACAAGAUGGCAUAUUGCUACACCAUCCUCCACCCUACAUAGCAACACAAUACUCAUAUAAGUAGUUGACCACAACAAUAAAAGUCCAUUACAAUAAAAGUAGUUGAUCCACAAAAUAGAUGUGCUCUUAUGAUAUCAACAUUAGUCUUCCUAGUGUUAGCACAUCUUGCACAAGGACAAGAUAUUCUGCUAACAUCAGUAGCAUUUUGCAAGGCAAAUUUCACGAAAGCUUCAACCUGAUUCUCGUACUCGGACUAUAAUCUACUUAUUGACAUCCAUGUCUUAUCCAUUUAUCAAUAAAAAGGAAAUAAGGAUUUAUCUACACAAGCCCCAACACCAAAUGGCUUAAUCCUCUUACAAUAAUGUCUCGAACCGAAAUUCGAGACCAAACAGAGAGAUUCAAAUAGGCAUCAACAAACUUAGAGAACGAUAAAUAAAUCACUAAAUACAACGAAGCCUUGUCUUUUACUCUUCAAAAACAUUAAAACCAAAUGAGCACAUAACAAAAUAUAAGAACACAGAAUAUAUGUGAAAACUAAAAUGGAACUAAUUUCGUAAAAUGGAUGGGUGAUUCGUAAUACAGAUAUAAACAGUAUAAUAAGUCAAAUCAUUGAGUUUCAUUUACGUGACUUGAUUAAAGUUAGAUGUAUUUGACAAAAAAUUGAAAUAGAAUAAGAAGUCAUUGACAAUUGGAAUUAGAUUUCGGCUGUUGACCGCUAGCCUACCAUUGUGACAGAGCGGCGGAAGUUUUCAUGUCGAGGAGCGGCGCUGGUGUCGGCGUUCGGUGCAGCGCGGAGGCAGAGAUGGGGGUGGGGGGACGACGUUGCUGAGGUGAUGCGAGAAGGAGGCAAAGUCGCGCCGUCGAAGGCGGUGGAAUAGGGGAGGACGCGGCCACAGAUGUCGGAAGGAGACAAUCGGAGAUGGCGUGCUGAGGCGGAAGACGGUGGAGUGCAAAAUUAGGGUUAUUCGCAGAUUUAGGGUAUAAAUAUAUUUAGGGCGUGUUUGAAUCUAUCUAUUAAUAUGAGACGGGUCUGACCCGAUCCGUGCGCGUUUAUAUAUAUAAUACAAUUGUUAACAAAAAUAGAAAUGUGAGAGUUGGUGCAAUGGUUAAAGGCGCAUAGUUUCUCUCAUACCUAAAGGUGGUCUAUGGUUCAAAACUCUUCACCCUCAUUUUAUAUCCCCUUCUCUUUUAGGUUUUAUUUUGCUGAUUUUGUUUCUUUUCUUUUAAAUUUUUUUCUUUUAUUUUACUGUCUUUUCUUCUGUUGUUUUCUUUUAUUUUACUGUUUUUUCUUUUGCAUUUUUUAUAUAUUUUGGUUUUUUUCCUUUCAGUAUUUUCUUUAUUUUUCGUUUGUUUUUUAUUUAUUAUUUUCUUUUAAUUUUUUAUAUAUUUUUGUGAAAAAUGUAAUACUUUUAAAAUAUUACAUUUCUUCAUAACAAUAAUUACUUUUUCUGACGUCAAUAAUUAUUUGAGCAAAUAACUAAAAGUAUAAGUUAUCGUGAGUAAAAAUAACAAUUAUUAUGAACAAAUGUUUCAAAAUUAUUACAUUUGUUUAUGAUAAUUGUUACUUUUAUUUAUUAGAACUUGUACUUUUAAUUAU